AAGUGGCGCUCCGGGGAGAAGGUGGCUGCGGCUGCUGGGGCCGCUGCGCCGGCGGCGGUUCCCGAUGUGGAGGUCCGUCUUGGGUGGGGAGGCACCCAGGUCGCUGGUUCGAUGCAGAGGAAGAAACCACACCUAGCACGUAAAGCCCUGAAAAAAUAGAGGUGGUUGUUUUUCUUGAGAAAUGGGAGGACUGGGAAGAGGAACUUGGUUGGGUUCACUGGGGAGGGCAGAAGCAAUAGGCCGCUGGUAGGAGGAGCGAAAUAAGUGACAGAUUUCAACUUAGUUCCAAGGUUUAUUUGCUGGAAGGAGGGUGGAUGUGGGAAGAAAAUUGAAGGGAUUAGGACAUACACCGUUGGAGGAUGCGUUUUGGCCAAACGUGUAGACAAGUUCUCGCAUUCUGGUACUUUCACAAAGCAAUGGUAAAGUACUCCCUAGUUUGCUGAUGAGGGGCGGGGGAAGGGAUGGUCAAAGAGAAUAUUGCGGGGAACCAUAGGAUUGCAGUCUGACGUGGGAUUUAGGGAAGCUGCGGGAAUAACCAAAAUGAAGACAGAAUUGAGAGUUCUAGAGACAAAGUGAAAAUAACUGAUAAGUAAUGAAUUCAGAGUUGUAAGGGUCGGUGUUGGUUUUAUUAGGCUGUAAUGAGUAUAAAAUAUUACCUUUCCGUAUAAUAGCUUACAAGCUAACAAAGUCAAGAAACUCAAACAUUAACUCGGAAAAUAUACACUGGGCUUCAAGGAAUCGCAUAGGACAUGCUCCCCAAGUUUUGCCCAGAUUGUCUUAUUUUUGGUUAUCGCUGAAGAAAACACCUACAACUGCAUUUUGAAACUAGACUCCUGGCCAGGCGCGGUGAUGCAUGCCUGUAAUCCCAGCACUUUGGUAGGCCAAGGCCUCCAAAUUGCUUGAGCGCAGAAGUUUGAGACCAGUCUGGCCAACAUGGAAAAAACCCGUCUCUACAAAGAUAAUAGUAAUACAAAAAUAAGCUGGGCAUGGUGCCAGUAGUCCCUGCUACUCAGGAGGCUGAGGUGGGAGGAUCACUUGAGCCCCAGAGGUGGAAGCUGCAGUGAGCCGUGAUCACACCACUGCACUCCAGCCUGGGCGACAGAAUGAGACUCUGUCGAAAAACAAAACAAAAAAUCAGAAACUAGAUUUCUUAAAAGGUUAUUAAAUACCCACCCAUGCCUAAAGCUCUUUCCUGGAAUUCAAAAUUACCAUUUCUUGAAAGAGCUUCAGUAACUGCAACAGAAAAGAGGCCUGAGGAUGCCAAGGUGUUUAGGUUUAUUUUGUGAUUGAAAAUAAGGAAAUAAGUUUCACCAAAAGAAGCAGCAGCUAAUUGCCAAUUCAGAGCAGCUGUUCCUUCACAAAAAUGCCAUAAUAACUCAAAUAUUUGAGUAUUAUCAAAACUUGCCAAAUUAUACAAAUGAAUUAAUUUGUUUUUCUGUUAUCUGCUUCAUCUGAAACACAGGUCAAAGCCAUGACUUAGAGGUUUUAACGUAAAGAAAAUGGUUCCGCUAAUUGUAUAGAACCUC
rnacentral:lncRNA from 10 species